rnacentral:misc_RNA from 1 species
AUAAUUUCAGGCAUGUCGAUAACGGUGUUUCUUUUGCUGAAUUUGAAGCAUCAAGUGUGGAUGAUCUCUCUGAAGUCUCAAUUAGCAAGGGAUUCUAAGUAAAAUCAAGAGAGCAUUUUCUCUUAUUACAGGCAUGUUCUAUGACUGCUCCACAUUAAGAGAAGCCGCUCUAUGCUCUAUGGCCCUCAGAUAUGCGUCUAAACCACAUCAAAUUGUUUCCAGAGUUGUGAAUAUUGAGUUCACUCUUUUAUACAGCAGAGAUG